AAGAAAGGAGCAUGAGUGGCUUGAUGCGGCUGGCUUGAAACCAGUAUAUGAGGGUUCGAUUCCUUCCUUUCUUG
rnacentral:tRNA from 1 species